UUUAAUAAAUCUAAAGAUGAGCAUCCAUAUUCCCGCUGCAUUAUGGUCAUCUCUAUAAAACGACAACCGUGACAGGAGGAGGCUCAGGUGACAGCGGUGGCAGAAGGAGGCAUCCUCACGAGCAUUCAGGAAGCUCAGGUGUCAGAGGAAGCAGCAUGUAGCACAGGUGUCAUGCAGGAGGAGGCCAUCAUUCAAUUGAAAGAGAGAAUACAGUUCCUGCAAAAUAAGCUGUCAAAGUCACACAAACAAGGCCUGCCACAAGACGAAGCGUCAUCAAAACCAAAACUAAAGACAAUGUUGGAGGCCAUGGAGUCGCUAACUCCACAUCUAAAGAACUUCUUCAAACUACAGUGCAGUGUGCAGAGAAAUAAAAGACGGUGGAGGUUCUCUGUGGAGAUAAAACAACUUGGAAUUCAGCUGUACCACCACAGAAACAAAAAUAUCCUGCCAUCUAUAAGUACCCUCCAUCACUACCUUGCCCCCACCAUUGGUUUAUUUUCUGUAAGAAUAAAUAUUGCAUUUUGCUCUUACAAGAGGA